rnacentral:rRNA from 1 species
CCAGACUCCUACGGGAGGCAGCAGUGGGGAAUAUUGCACAAUGGGCGCAAGCCUGAUGCAGCGACGCCGCGUGAGGGAUGGAGGCCUUCGGGUUGUAAACCUCUUUUGUUUGGGAGCAAGCCUUCGGGUGAGUGUACCUUUCGAAUAAGCGCCGGCUAACUACGUGCCAGCAGCCGCGGUAAUACGUAGGGCGCAAGCGUUAUCCGGAUUUAUUGGGCGUAAAGGGCUCGUAGGCGGCUCGUCGCGUCCGGUGUGAAAGUCCAUCGCUUAACGGUGGAUCUGCGCCGGGUACGGGCGGGCUGGAGUGCGGUAGGGGAGACUGGAAUUCCCGGUGUAACGGUGGAAUGUGUAGAUAUCGGGAAGAACACCGAUGGCGAAGGCAGGUCUCUGGGCCGUCACUGACGCUGAGGAGCGAAAGCGUGGGGAGCGAACAGGAUUAGAUACCCUGGUAGUCCACGCCGUAAACGGUGGACGCUGGAUGUGGGGCACGUUCCACGUGUUCCGUGUCGGAGCUAACGCGUUAAGCGUCCCGCCUGGGGAGUACGGCCGCAAGGCUAAAACUCAAAGAAAUUGACGGGGGCCCGCACAAGCGGCGGAGCAUGCGGAUUAAUUCGAUGCAACGCGAAGAACCUUACCUGGGCUUGACAUGUUCCCGACGACGCCAGAGAUGGCGUUUCCCUUCGGGGCGGGUUCACAGGUGGUGCAUGGUCGUCGUCAGCUCGUGUCGUGAGAUGUUGGGUUAAGUCCCGCAACGAGCGCAACCCUCGCCCCGUGUUGCCAGCACGUUAUGGUGGGAACUCACGGGGGACCGCCGGGGUUAACUCGGAGGAAGGUGGGGAUGACGUCAGAUCAUCAUGCCCCUUACGUCCAGGGCUUCACGCAUGCUACAAUGGCCGGUACAGCGGGAUGCGACAUGGCGACAUGGAGCGGAUCCCUGAAAACCGGUCUCAGUUCGGAUCGGAGCCUGCAACCCGGCUCCGUGAAGGCGGAGUCGCUAGUAAUCGCGGAUCAGCAACGCCGCGGUGAAUGCGUUCCCGGGCCUUGUACACACCGCCCGUCAAGUCAUGAAAGUGGGCAGCACCCGAAGCCGGUGGCCUAACCCCUUGUGGGAUGGAGCCGUCUAAGGUGAGGCUCGUGAUUGGGACUAAGUCGUAACAAGGUAGCCGUACCGGAAGGUGCGGCUG